GUGACGUUCCCUACGCGGUCGGGCGUUGGGUUUCGCGGCGCUCGCCGCACUGGUUGUUCAGCACCUUCGGUCCGGUUGAGGUUGUCAAGUCGGACCAAACAGGUUGUUUCUCUGCAGUUUCCAACAUGGCAGGGAGGUUUAAUAGACAUGGAUAAGAAGUCCACUCACAGAAAUCCUGAAGAUGCCAGGGCUGGCAAAUAUGAAGAUGAUCCUAUGUUUCCUUCUUCCUCAUCAUCGUCUUCAGGAAGCCAGACAGAUUCAAGUAUUGAAGAUGCUGCCAAGGGAAAAAUUAAGAAGAAGAGAAGAGAGAAAACAAAUAAAUGGGAAAAAAGAAAGGUGCGGUGAAACAUCAAUCGGCUUGGUCCACAGAUAAGCGUGUUCAACUCCCCGACGAGUGGACAAAAUAUGAAACACCAAGAAAAAGAGAAGGAAAAAAAGGAGGAAACAACCACAUAUGUCACCUUUCCAAGGAAUAUAAUUCAAUAUCAGAAUGAUUUGGAAGGAAAAAACCUACAGGAAGCUAUUGUAGCCUAGUGAGGAAGAUAAAUAUUAAUACAGCCAAUUUAUAGAUCAGACUAAAGACAAUGAUUGGGGCAUUGAAAAGAACAGAUAGAAGAAAUAUUGCAAAGAGGGACUGAAACUGGGCUGACCCUUUUGAUUUCCAAGCUCAGCGUUUUGGUGUAAGGCGGCCAAAGAAGGAUGCGGAGCCCAGCACUGUGAAGCCUACAAAAACAUUGAUGCGCUGGCUUGGGGAUUUGAAUUUGAACAUCUUUCACACUAAGUUCAGACUCAUGAAACCAAUCUUCAGAUGCUCUGUAAACCACAUAAUAAAGAGUUUGGAAAUUAUAUUUUGUUUUUGAAGGCCCACGUGCAAAACUUGAGAGCCUCAAGUCCAAGCCAGUUGUGGCAAUUCUAGCCUACUUUUUUUUUAUAUUCAAGUGUGUUGUAGGGAAGGAGGAGAAUAAGUCUGCUUUCUUGAAUAUUAUGCCUAAUUAAUUACGUAUAAAAUACUUUUACCAAAGUUCUAUGCAAGGUAGAAGACUUACAGAUGGCAUGAAAAAGAUAAAGUCUUUUCCAUGUUUUUUUUUUUUUUUUUUUUUUUUUUUGAGACAGAGUUUCACUCUGGUCGCCCAGGCUGGAGUGCAGUGGGCCAGUGUCGCCUCACGGCAACCUCCGCCUCCCAGGUUCAAGUGCUUCUCCUGCCUCAGCCUCCUGAGUAUCUGGGACUACAGGUCCAUGCCACCACACCCAGCUGAUUUUGUAUUUCUAGUAGAGACAUGGUUUCGCUAUUUUGUCCAGGCUGCUCUCGAACUCCUGACCUCAGGUUAUCUGUUCCCCACGGCAUCCCAAAGUGCUGGGAUUACAGGCGUGAACUACCGUGCUUGGCCUCUGUGUACUUCUUUUUUGUUGUUAUUGUUUUUGAGAUGGAGUUUCACUCUUGUCAUACAGGCUGGAGUGCAGUGGCGCCAUCUCAGCUCACUGCAACCUCUGUCUCCUGGGUUCAAGCGAUUCUCAUGCCUCAGCCUCCCAAGUAGCUGGGAUUACAGGUGUGCACCACCACGCCCAGCUAAUUUUUGUAUUUUUAGUAAAGACAGGGUUUCACCAUGUUGGCCAGGCUGGUCUCGAACUCCUAACCUCAGGUGAUCUACCCACUUCAGUCUCCCAAAGCGCUGGGAUUACAGGUGUGAGCCACCGUACCUGGCCCAUGUACUUCUUACUUAGUUUUUCUUCCCGCGUCUUAUGUUUACAUUUGCAAUUAUGUCUUCUUCUUUCAACAAAUAUUACAGGUUUUCAUAAUCUCAAAUAUUUGUUUUUAGAGCAUGAUGUAAUGUUCCUUUGCAUUAGGUACACUGAUUGUGGGUUUCCAACAAAAAGUUUUCAGGUCUAAAAAUGAUCACAUCAUGCAGUAUACCCAGGAAUCAAACCUGCACAUCUAUCCCCUAAGUCUAAAAAUGAAAGUUGAAAAAAAUAAAAAUUAUAUAAGAAAAAAAUUAUCACAGUGUUUUAUAAAAUAAGAAAGCAGACCACGCGUGGUGACUGAGGCUUGUAAUCCCAGCACUUUAGGAGGCCAAGGCAGGCGGAUUGCUUUAGCUCAGGAGUUUGAGGCCAGCCUGGCCGAAAUGGUGAAACUCUGUCUCUACAAACACACACACACACACACGGUGAAACUCUGUCUCUACAAACACACACACACACACACACACACACACACAAAUUUAGCCAGGCAUGGUGGCACAUGCCUGUAGUCCCAGCUACUCGGGAGGCUGAGGUGGGAGGAUUGCUUGAGCUUGGGAGGCAGAGGCUGCGGUGAGCGAAGAUCACACCACUGCACUCCAGCCUGGGCGCCAGAGCAAGACUCUGUCUACAAAAAACAACAAACAGAAACAGCAAUUUGCCAGGUAAGCCUUUUAUGUUGCCUUUGAUAGUUUUAUAGAUCCUUGGGAUUUUUGCUCACUUAGGUUUAUGAUUGAAUGUGUAUCCCAUCUAACUGUGUACUUGAUAUUUGCUUUUAAAACAAACUCCUGUUAGAAGUAAAUGUUGAAAGAGAGGGCUAGGUUGUUUUUUUUAUAUUCAUUCAGUCAUUGAUUCAUUUAUUUAUUUAUUCAGGGUCUUGGCUGUGUUACCUAGGCUGGAGUGUGAGAGUAUGAUCAUGGCUCACUGCAGCCUAGACCUCUUGGAUUCAAAUGAUGCUCCCACUUCAGCCUCCCAAGUAGCUGGGACCACAGGUGCACACCACCAUGUCCAGCUAAUUUUUAGAUUUUUUUGUAGAGACAUGGUCUUUCUGUGUUGCCCCGGCUGGUCUCGUACUCCUGGCUUCAAGCAAUGGCCCCACCUUGGCCUCCCAAAAUGAAGAUUACAAGUGUGAGCCACUGUGCCUAAUUGAUUUUUUUAUUGGAAAUUUUGAUACUGUUACGUUGUCACUGAGGCAGACAACUUAAAAAUAAUCUUGAGUAUCAUUCUGUGCCGAUGUUAGAAUUUAAUAUGCUGUUCGUAGGCCAGGCUCAGUAGCUCACGCCUGUAAUCUCAGCACUUUGGGACGCCAAAAGCAGGAGGAUCUCUUGAGCCCCCAGGAGUUUGAGACAAGCCUGGGCAGCAUAAAGAGACCCCCAUCUCUAAAAAAAAAAAAAUAGAAAAAUUAGCCAGACAUGAUGAUGCCAACCUGUAGUCCUGGCUACUUGGGAAGCUGAGGUAGGAGGAUCGCUUGAGCCCAGGAAUUUGAGGCUGCAGUGAACUAUGAUUACACCACUGUACUCCAGCCAGGGUGACAGAGCAAGACCCUAUCUCUAAAACUAUUUUUAAAAAUAAAACAAUAUGUUGUUCAUAUUAUCCUAAUGUAGUGUUUUACUGAAUAGAAUUCCUUAAAGGAUUCUUUUCCCCAAGGAUAUUAACUCAAGGUAAAUUAUAAUAGGAUUGCAGAUAAAUUAAGCAUCUUUAUCUUUGAUUACAGAGAUAUUUAGCAUAUGACUAUAGAUAAUUUCCCCUUCAUAUUUUCUUGGGCUUCUAGUAUUUAUGUAUCAAGAAAAUUAUUUCCUUAUGUUUGAAAUGGUGACAUUUCUGAAAUGUACCAGCAGAGGAUACAGGGAUUUUUGUUUGUUUUUCAUUUUCUUAUUUACUGAAGAAAUAAAGGCAUUUUAGUUUAUAAAUGGACUGUUUCUUUUUUCCAGGAAAACUAAUAUUCAUAAUUAUGGGAAAACCGUGGUCUCUUCAAAAG
rnacentral:lncRNA from 1 species